CCAACAGGGAUUGCCCUAGUAACGGCGAGUGAAGCGGCAACAGCUCAAAUUUGAAAUCUGGCUCUUUCAGAGUCCGAGUUGUAAUUUGCAGAGGGCGCUUUGGCGUUGGCAGCGGUCCAAGUUCUUUGGAACAGGACGUCACAGAGGGUGAGAAUCCCGUACGUGGUCGCUAGACUUCGCCGUGUAAAGCCCCUUCGACGAGUCGAGUUGUUUGGGAAUGCAGCUCUAAAUGGGAGGUAAAUUUCUUCUAAAGCUAAAUACUGGCCAGAGACCGAUAGCGCACAAGUAGAGUGAUCGAAAGAUGAAAAGCACUUUGGAAAGAGAGUCAAAUAGCACGUGAAAUUGUUGAAAGGGAAGCGCUUGCAGCCAGACUUGCCUGUAGUUGCUUAUCCAGACUUUUGUCUGGUGCACUCUUCUAUAGGCAGGCCAGCAUCAGUUUGGGCGGUUGGAUAAAGGUCUCUAUCACGUACCUCUCUUCGGGGAGGCCUUAUAGGGGAGACGACAUACAACCAGCCUGGACUGAGGUCCGCGCAUCUGCUAGGAUGCUGGCGUAAUGGCUGUAAGCGGCCCGUCUUGAAACACGGACCAAGGAGUCUAACAUCUAUGCGAGUGUUUGGGUGUCAAGCCCAUACGCGUAAUGAAAGUGAACGGAGGUGGGAACCUUUUAGGUGCACCAUCGACCGAUCCUGAUGUCUUCGGAUGGAUUUGAGUAAGAGCAUGGCUGUUGGGACCCGAAAGAUGGUGAACUAUGCUUGAAUAGGGUGAAGCCAGAGGAAACUCUGGUGGAGGCUCGCAGCGGUUCUGACGUGCAAAUCGAUCGUCAAAUUUGGGCAUAGGGGCGAA
rnacentral:rRNA from 1 species